CCCCCCGAAUCCAAGCCCAACUUCACCCCUCUCGCCAUCAUGGCCCAUGUUCUCGGCGCCAUCCAGCCCUAUGCCCACCUCAUCCACGUCCAGCGACUCAUCCCCCGCCAGCACGCCGUUCCGGAAGGCAAAGGCCUUGUAUGCCUGCAAAGCUGAACACGACUCUGAGCUCUCGUUCACAGCAGGCACCAUCUUCGAUAACGUUCAUCCAUCUCAGGAGCCUGGCUGGUUGGAGGGGACUCUGAAUGGAAAGACUGGCCUCAUCCCAGAGAACUACGUGGAGUUCCUCUAACCUCCGGCCCCAGCAGAGCUGCUGAGCUUUACGUGGUCUCCAUGACAACUAUUGAUUCUGGUGUUGUGGACCACUCUUCAUUGCCACUGAGAAAGCAGGGAGCCUGACUGUUGCUUCUUGCCUACAUGAAUGCAUCCGGGAACUUGUGUCACGUCUCUCCAUGAUCAUCUCAGCUGACAGCACCACAGUGAUGCUGCGAGAACUGAAACCCAGCGAGCAGAGGAGGCCACUUGAUUUUGGUAACCUAGAGGAAGGCUUGCAAAGCCGUUUUCUCCUGCGUGCCCUAAAUAGCGAGCCCUGAUUUCAUUUCAACCGUCAUCCAAACCCCCAGCCUCCUGGAAAGAGGAAACGAGGAGAACAGUCCUACAGAAAGUGCAGCGUUGCUGAAUUGGACAAGGCAGGGCACCACGCUGCAGGCUGCCUCUACUGCUGUUUACAGCGGACGCUCUUUCUCUCUCCUUCCUUCUCCCAGAGACACAGUGCUGCAGGCAGCUGGGCCUGUCGGCAAGCACACAGGAUGUAGGGGUCGCCGCACUGUUUAUGUAAGGUCCAAUCUCUCACCAUCUCUUGAGCAGCUGUUGGCCCAUGGUCAGCAGAUUUCAGUCCAGUCCUCUUAUGCAAAGAAGCACAUGCCCCUCACGUUCUCUGCCACUGAAGGCUUCCAUCACUGCCAUCACCUAGUAACCAUAGCAACCCAACCUACUCUAAAACUAAGCCAAAAAUAAUACUCCUUUUUGUAUGACACCGCCUUCUACCAGCUCUGGUGGUUUUCUUGAAUGGUCUCCCAACAAUCUGAAGCAGAGGAUUAGACCAUUAGGGUGGUCUAUCCGGGGCAGACAGGAUAGCAACUGGGGGCUGUUCCUUUUCUGGUGAAUGUCUGCAUCACCAGGAUAGGUUUGGAGCAAACUCUAGGAACCUGUUGAGAUUAAAUCCCAUACAUGGUCAAUACUUCUGUUCUUCAUGCAAUGAGUUCUUGCUUCAGAGGGUAAGAUGCUGCCUCCCCCCGGGCUAGCGUUUGAUGGGUCCCUUCCAGUCCCCCCUCUCCCUGCUGCCUGUCUUUGCUCUUGCCAGUGACUCCCAACUGCUCCCUAGAAUGCUUUUGCUAUGGAGGUCCUGUGGAGUUUAGAGAUGAUUCUUGGGCCAAACCUGUAGCCUGCAUUUUUAAAGGAUCUCUAUAUACACUGCCACCCAGGAAAAGAAGGAAUCAUGAACUAGGGUGCCCAGGCAUGAGCCUAGUAUAGACCAUUAAGAACCUGGAAGACACCAGAUGUUGAGGCCUCCAGGCUAGGGUGGGUGCCUUCUAGGAGGGGAUUCCUGAAUAAAAGGCGCUGGGUUUUAACUGCUGUGCCUGGGAGACCACCUGGACGUUGCGAUGUCACAUGACCUCCAAAGAACAGAAUCAUGGUAUCUGCACACAUGAAUGACCUUAGUAGACAGACUCUGGACAAUCUGUCACACCUGCCAGGAGCCCCGUGGAUGGCAGGGUUGCUCCAGAGUGUCUCUGGCUCUGGAAUUCCCUAGGGUUCUUUAAUGAAGAAAUGAAAAACUUGAAUUGUGUUGAAUUACUGUAUCUUUUGCUUUUUUUUAAAGAUAAACUUGUAAAUAGAAUGAUUUGAAAUAUUAUAUGGUAAAGUUUUAUAUUUGAUAUUUUAAGCUAGUCGCUCCAUGUAGUUAGCGAUUUUGAUUGCCGAGCAGGUGUGUUGAAGGGUAGGAGAGGCAGGGCUGAUGAGUCAAGGUCAUGGCCCCUCUCUGACCCAGAGAGAGAAUGUUUCUUAUGGUUCCUGCCGGUUAACCUGAAAACCUGAAAAGCUAAUUGUAUUCAGUUUUCUUUAUCUCCAUGUGAUUUGGGGCUUUAGAGUUCAAAAAGCAUUUUCAGGUAAUAAACUCCCAACUAACAGUAAAGUGGCACUCAGGAUUUAAAUAGGCGGGGCAAGGGGAGACAUGUUUGUUUUUGUUUGUUCUUCUCAGGUGUAUUUCUUGGUAUCCCAGGAUGUCCAGACAAAAGGAGAGGAGACAAUUUCUCCUUUUCUUCCUCACCUCCUAAGGUUUUAUAGAUACAGCCUAGCUAGUAUGUAAAAGUGUCUAUCAGUUCUAAGAACAAAAGAAUGUCAGCUGCUAUGACUCUGAGUCCUCUCUUUCUGUAGAUGUGUUUCUGUGCUCCCCUUUCACCUCCAGGUUCCCUACAGCUCCAAAGUCAAAGAACUUGCCAAGAGGGAGCUAGACCGCGCCAUUACAGUUUCCAGUGUGGCUGCAAUGUUAGUAGGAGUUCACUGUGACUCGGCAUUGAGCUUACCAGCUAAAGGACUGUCAUGUUGUCACCGGGGAACUCAUAGGAGUAAGGUGACCCCACCCUUCAGUCAGGGACCCAGGCUGAAGCAGAGCAAGGCAAACACAAGUCUCAGAACUGCCACUGAAGCUGGGUGUAAUGGCCCCUGCCUGUACUCUUGGCACUUGGGAGGCAGAGGCAAGAGGAUUGCUAAAGUCCUAAGCCAGCCAGGUGUGGGGGUGGGGAGCGGGGUUGAAAUCUAAAGGAAGAAAGGAAAUAGACUCUUUCCUGUGAGCUUGAGAAGAAGUUGGGAAAUGGGGCCCAAAGGGCAUGCACGCUCAAAUAGCAUUGCGCUUUCCAAAUUGAAAGAGCCCAGCGUGAUCCUUUUAAUAUAUCUGAUGAUUUAAAUAGUCACCAGCCUCAUCAUAAGCGAGGUGUUCUGUAGUCAGGGCCCAGCAUGACUGCUUGGAUGCACACUCCUCUCCUGAGCUGGCCCCGGUGUAAAGCUGCUCUUGGAGGCUGACCUCCUUCCAGUUUCCCCCAGGCCAUGUGUGGCCUAUGACAGAUGGCCACUCCAUUUCCCUCUGUCCAGCUAGGCCUCCCUUCUCCCCAUCAGAUGAAGAACUGGGGGGAUGAAUAUGAGCCAAGUGAACUGGAAGAUUAAAAAUGAAAUGUACCCUUUCUGCUCUCUGAACGCCCGUUAGCUCCCACAGAUAAGGAAAACUGGGGUAGGACGUGGGGAGUGAGUUACUAGAAUGGAAGGCCAUUGACCAAACUCCCAAACAUUCCCCGGAGCUUUGAGUUUCUCUUGUAAGCAUGCUAUGAGAAGACAACUGUUUCAAAUCCCUGUCCCCAAGCAAGGGAAAUCUGGACUGCUCAAGGUUAUUCUCUCCCAGUUUUCAAGAUCAGUGUAUAAGAGUCAACUCCAUUUAGUGGGCCCCUCAGUAUUCUAUCAGUAUUGGAGGCAGUUUUUAGUAUUUCUGAAGCUGAUGGGGAAGUCUUGUGGGUGCUUUUCUACAGUGACGCAAAGAGCAAACUAGCUCGAGUACUUGUACAUUGACCCGGGUGGGCCGGAAACCAUGCUGGUUUCUUGGGAAGUGCAGGCACUUGCCCAUAACUCCAGACAUGAGUGUGCCACACCUGGAUCUCAGAGAGAAAUCCUUGCCAAGUGCUUUUUCCUCCUGAAAACUGUAGAACCCAUCCUACCAAAAGCCAUUUCUCCAUCGUAGAGGUUCCAGAAGCAUCCAUUGUUGAGGCCUAGGGAUAUAACAGACUAAAGAUGGUGUGACCAUUUCUCUGUUCGUGGCUGGCUGUUGGCACCUUUCACCCUCUGGCCUUUGCUUCUCCUACCUUCAGAGCCAUGGAGCUCCUGGGUGCACCAGUGACACCCCAGCAUCCCACAUUUGCUCUACCACCCAUCACUCCCAGGAGACAGGGGAACCAAGCAUCUGUUUAGAUACCCGACUUUCAAAGGAAUGUUCUGGGUGUCUGUGCGGGGAGCUAGCUGCCACCUCUGGCAAACUUACCAGUGAUCACUGACGUCUACAGCCUUGCCCCAUAGAGCCCUUUCACCAGCCAGGUGCCCCUCACACCCCACAGUGGGGGCUGUAAAAUGUCUCUUGUGCUCACAGAUUUCGGCAUCCAUGCUGAUCUAGUGGUUGCCUGUGAGCCUAGCAUCCAAAUGAUAGUGAGCCCUGCACGUUCCUCCAGCACACCUGAGACAAGGCUCCAGCAAGUAAUAAUUAGUGUUCUUCCUUUCGCCGCCCACAGUACUUGUCUAACUUAAAGAGUUUCCUAAAGCAGACGAGAGAUUCCCGAUGUCACUCAGAGGCAGCCCUGUGUUCAUGGGAAGAAAAGCAUACAUAUAAAAAUGCCAGGAUCGGAAAGGAAAACAUAAACCACACUGAGGAGCCCCAGAUCUUUAAAGAGUGCUGUGAUAUUGCUCUUACUGGGGGUGGAAGGUUGGGGGGGGGGCUGAAGGGUGGAAAUGGACUGUCACGGGAAGAAUUCCACAACUAAUAGUUUUUCACAAGUCUAUAGGAGAAAACAAAAUGAAAAUACCCUUCAUGGAAUGUCUUAGAGAGCAACUGAGCAUAGUCCUAACCCACGGAAGGUGAGUCAAGAACUGUUGUAUCAAAAUUAGUGGUCGGUGGGGAGCAGAUUAUGGGUCAUUCAAUGUCCAAGUGACCUGAAGUAGCUUCAGCCAGGCCGGGACACUCUGUGUCAUACCCCACCCAUAGUUCCCAUAGGCUUCUGAGUAGCACCAACAAACAGCGUUUCUGGGGGUCAAGAUGCCAGGACCAGCGUUGUGUCUGUGAAAACAUACAUCUGGUGAUUCUAAAAGUUGUGUGUGCAUGUGUCUGUGUGUAUGUGUCGUGUGCAGCACAUAGCUACAUGUGUAAAGCUGCAGCCUCACGUGUAGACAGACGUUAGCUGGCACUUCCGAAGCUUGUAGACAGCCUUGGAGGGAGGGUCUCAGCAGAAGGAGAGGCUGUUGAUCUCCAUGCACAAGAUCAAAGAUAGAGAUGAAGUGCCAUCUAAAGCCUGCGUUCACAUUUCCCACAUAGUUGUCUGCAGCUGUGUUCCUCGGUGACUUCUUAAGUCGUGUUAAAAACUCAGACCCAUCAAUUCCCAGUAGCUAAUGCUAGGCUAGUGUUCAAAAGCACUCUCAAAGACAGCUAGUCUGUAUCUUGGGAACUAAACUGUUUGCAUGUUUAAUCCCUCUUUUAGGCUACCUUUGAGUAGACUGUACAGUGCUGUGUGAUAUAAUAUCAAUAAAGUACUUAUAAGAGGCACUUUAAUAUUUUCUUUGGGAAAAUCCUAACGCACUGUUGUAAAUUUCAGUGUUGAAUAUUGACUGGUGAAUAGAAUCAAAUUCUGUAAUUAAAAAGUAGCUAGGAUAGGACAUUUUUCCUGUUAUUAAAAAAAGCCAGUUUUGCCAUGUUCAGGCUUUUUAAAAAAAAUGUGUUUCUGUGCCAUUGUGCGUAUCUAUAAAGAAAAUACAAUUUCUGUCCAGCACCUGUAAAACUUGGCUUUCUGUGUUUGGUUUGUGUACCUGGCAAUCCCUAUAAAGUGAGUGGAAGUAUGACUUUUGAAUUAAAUGAUUUUUCC